rfam:Stegodyphus mimosarum contig74479, whole genome shotgun sequence.
GCCUUCGUGGUGUAAUGGUCAGCACACUGAGCCGGUAUUUCAGAGGUUCGCGGUUCGAUCCCCGGCGAAGGCA